UACGUAGGGGGCAAGCGUUGUCCGGAUUUAUUGGGCGUAAAGAGCGUGUAGGCGGCUUUACAGGUCCGUUGUGAAAACUCGAGGCUCAACCCUCGAAUGCCGGUGGAUACUGUCGGGCUAGAGUGCGGAAGAGGCGAGUGGAAUUCCUGGUGUAGCGGUGAAAUGCGCAGAUAUCAGGAGGAACACCGGUGGCGAAGGCGGGUCUCUGGGCAGUAACUGACGCUGAGGAGCGAAAGCGUGGGGAGCGAACAGG
rnacentral:rRNA from 1 species